rnacentral:rRNA from 1 species
CUCCCCCGUUGCUGACCCCAGGUUCGAUAGCGCCAACUUAGGCGCCACCUCGCCAAGAACCAGCUUCGGUGAAGCGACGGGCGGUGUGUGCA